rnacentral:rRNA from 1 species
AGUGAACGCUGGCGGUAGGCCUAACACAUGCAAGUCGAACGAGUGGCGGACGGUUGAGGAAUACAUCUGAAUCUACUCUGUCGUGGGGGCUUACGUAGGUAAACUUACGCUAAUACCGCAUUCGCUUGAAUGAGCCGUUGUCGGCUUAGCUAGUUGGCGGGGUAAAGGCCCACCAAGGCGACGAUCCGUAGCUGUUCUGAGAGGAUGAUCAGCCACACUGGAACUGAGACACGGUCCAGACUCCUACGGGAGGCAGCAGUGGGGAAUAUUGGACAAUGGGCGCAAGCCUGAUACAGCCAUACCGCGUGGGUGAAGAAGGCCUUCGGGUUGUAAAGCCCUUUUGUUGGGAAAGCGGUACCCAAAGAAUAAGCACCGGCUAACUACGUGCCAGCAGCCGCGGUAAUUC